GUCACCGUUUGAGUAUGUUCUUUUGUUUCCUCGUUUCUCCCACCAAGAUGUGCUCCUGAAAUCUAUAUAUAAACAGAACAUGCUCUUGUCCACUAACCAUUCAACAACUGUAAAGUCCACUGUCGACAGCAAAACUACCAUGGCCAAAUAUUUGGUAUUUCUACUGCUUCUUGUAGCUGCGCUUUGCGGUGCUUUGGCCUUGCCAGCCCGUGGAGGACAUAAUUAUCAUGGUGGCCAUGAUCACGGAGGACAUGAUCACGGACAUGAUCACGGAGGACGUGGAUACGAUCGCGGACAUAAAUAUCACAGUCACCACGGUUAAACGUUUAAUUCGUUCAUUCUUGUGAGAAAAAUAAGAUGAUCAAAUAUCAUUCAGAAGUCUGAAUCUAUAUCUCCACAGAAGAAAUUUCACACUACAAAAUUUUAUAUCUAAAAUCAAGAGUAAUACCUUAAAGACAAAUAUCCAGUCCGCUGCAAAACUUUCUUUGACUAAAUUACAGAAUGGAUUUUAUAUUUUAACUGCAAUUGAUAUUAAUAUGAAGUCGACUGUGAUGUGAAUAUUAAAGUGUAUGGUUAUUAAGGAAUAUGUGAAAUUGAGAAAAAAACAUCGAAACACCGAGAAAGGAAAGACACGAGUGCCCUUUGAAGACCUGGAGCCUACUCCCGUACCUUUUAAUGGAAGUGAAACUUUGGCUAAGAAGAACAAAAAUACUAGCAACACUAAAGUGAUGGAAAUGAAAUGUAUAAUGAUGUCAGCAGAUGUAAUCUAUUUCACAGCAAAAUUAAACAUUAGCUAUAUGGAAUGGAAUACAUAUUUAUUAAGAACAGCAACAUGGUUAAUCCACUUGAGCAAAACAGACAGUGACGAUCUCCUAAAACUUGUAUUUUCAUUUCGUGAUGCUGUUUGCUCCGAACCAGCAUCAAUAGAAAGAAAUUGUGUUAUGGGUGACGUAAGCCAGUUUUAGUUUGAAUUAGCAUAAUUCUGUUCAUCCUGCGUGAAGGAAAUCUGGUGAUUUAUAGCUAUUUGAAUAUGAGUUUUAGUAACUAUCAACAAUCCAAGAUUCCCCACAAACAGGUUUAACGUCUCAUCAGCUUAACGCGUCGUUUUUACGAAUAAGAAAGAACUGUAUCCUCACUGACACUCGCAAAGGGCCAUUUACUGAAUAAAUAUCUUUUAAAUACGUAUUAGAGACAAGACAUUGCGUUGAGUGAACUGGAUAAUGUAGUAUGUAUACGACCUUGUAAACAUUUUGUUGUCACAUUAAUUUCCUUCUUAAUUGUUUGUAACGAAUUCUUGAGCAUUCAUAAGUUUCAUAUUUGCGUUUAUAAAAUCACCAUCAGUGAUCUACGUAGAAUGUAAAUAAGGACAGAAAUGAGAUAACUGAUUGAUGACAUAGUUUUAGACCUUUUAUACAUAACAACCAGACAACCUUUUUGGGUGACACAUUCCAUGACGAAAAAUUAAUUAUAAAGACAAAAAUCAAAUCAAAGCAAAGUGAAACAUAUCGCAUACAAUUUCUUAUAAUACUGUGUAUAUUUUGUAACAUUUACUAUAAAAUGUUGGAAUAAUAAAUUGUCAGUACACACA